UACGUAGGGUGCAAGCGUUGUCCGGAAUUAUUGGGCGUAAGAGCUUGCUAGGCGGUUUGUCGCGUCUGCCGUGAAAUUUCGAGGCUCAACCUCGAACUUGCGGUGGGUACGGGCAGACUAGAGUGUGGUAGGGGAGACUGGAAUUCCUGGUGUAGCGGUGAAAUGCGCAGAUAUCAGGAGGAACACCGAUGGCGAAGGCAGGUCUCUGGGCCACUACUGACGCUGAGAAGCGAAAGCAUGGGGAGCGAACAGG
rnacentral:rRNA from 1 species